rfam:Danio rerio chromosome 4, GRCz11 reference primary assembly.
GGUUCAUGGUGUAAUGGUUAGCACUCUGGACUCUGAAUCCAGCGAUCCGAGUUCAAAUCUUGAUGGGACCU